UACAGAGGUGGCAAGCGUUGUUCGGAAUUACUGGGCGUAAAGGGCGCGUAGGCGGUUCGAUAAGUCCUGGGUGAAAUCCCUCGGCUCAACUGAGGAACUGCACGGGAGACUGUCGGGCUUGAGUUCGGGAGAGGGAAGCGGAAUUCCGGGUGUAGCGGUGAAAUGCGUAGAUAUCCGGAGGAACACCGGUGGCGAAGGCGGCUUCCUGGACCGACACUGACGCUGAGGCGCGAAAGCUAGGGGAGCAAACGGG
rnacentral:rRNA from 1 species